GACGAGGGGUCCUAGCGUUGUUCGGAAUUACUGGGCGUAAAGCGCAUGUAGGCGGCUCGAUAAGUCAGAUGUGAAAUUCCUGGGCUCAACCCAGGGCGUGCAUUUGAUACUGUCGAGCUUGAGUAUGGGAGAGGGUAGUAGAAUUCCUGGUGUAGCGGUGGAAUGCGCAGAUAUCAGGAGGAACACCGAUGGCGAAGGCAGGUCACUGGGCCGCAACUGACGCUGAGGAGCGAAAGCGUGGGGAGCGAACAGG
rnacentral:rRNA from 1 species